UUCAUACAUUUCAUCGUUAAAAGAUGACGAUUUUUAGUUUAAUUUUUGUAAUUUUCUUUGUUCUCUUGGGACUAGCGAAGAGGCAGAAUCAUUGGGUUCAUAUAUUAAAAGAUCCGAAUGGCCGACUAUAUAGGACCUAUGACCCUGAGGCUUACAAAGUUACAGUACCAACAGUAGCAUAGCAGAUCCUAUGGAAUCA